UCUCUGGCCCCUCUCUCUCUCUUCCACCUUCUCUCUCUCUCUUGCUCUCUGGCCCCUCUCUCUCUCUUCCACCUUCUCUCUCUCUCUUGCUCUCUGGCCCCUCUCUCUCUCUUCCACCUUCUCUCUGCUCUCCUCUCCCUCUGUCUCUCUCCCCUGACUCUCUCCCUCUAUCUCUACCCUCUCUCUCCCUCCUCCUCCUUCUCUCACCCCUCUCUCUCCUCUCCUCUCCUCUCCCUCUCUCUCUGCACAGAAAGAGGCAACCAGGGGUUUCAGUCCCUGCGUCAUGUGAUCCAAUCUCCCCAUGCCCCUUGUCAUGUGACCAAGUCGAUAACCGAGUCUGCCUGCUAGGUGUCCAAGGACCGAGGGGUGGGCCGGGUGCUGGAGAAACUGAGCCGCUUCGCAGAUGAGCGGACCCCCAAGGUGCGACCCCAGGUCUUCCACAAGGUGCUGGGUGGCUUACAGCCCUGGGUGUUUUGCUUACCUGACCUCUGUGUCGCCAUCGAGGCACAGAUACAUCAAUAACAAUAACAGACUGAUUGAUAAUAGCUGUCUCUUUGUUAUUUUUGUGUACGGCUGUAUAAGCAACACACAGUAGGCUAUAUUAAAAACAUCUUAAUCUUU